AUAAAAGCUACUUUCGCAUGAAAGAGUUUAAAAGGCGGCGUAAAGCUGUCGCUAAAAGGGGAUGGGGACCUGCGAUGCAUUAGCUAGUGGUAAGGUAACAGGCUUACCAAGGCGAUGAUGCAUAGCCCGAGUUGAGAGACUGAUCGGGCCACAUUGGGACUGAGACACGGGCCCAAACUCCUACGGGAGGCAGCAGUAGGGGAAUCUUCCACAAUGGACGAAAGUCUGAUGGAGCAAACGCCGCGUGAGUGAAGAAGGUUUUCGGAUCGUAAAAAGCUCUGUUGUUGGUGAAGAAGGAUAGAGGUAGUAACUGGCCCUUUAUUUGACGGUAAUCAACCCAGAAAGUCACGGGCUAACUACGUGCCCAGCAGCCGCGGUAAAU
rnacentral:rRNA from 1 species